rnacentral:rRNA from 1 species
UACGUAGGGUGCAAGCGUUAAUCGGAAUUACUGGGCGUAAAGCGUGCGCAGGCGGUUUUGUAAGUCUGUCGCGAAAUCCCCGGGCUUAACCUGGGAAUGGCGAUGGAGACUGCAAGGCUAGAGUUUGGCAGAGGGGGGUAGAAUUCCACGUGUAGCAGUGAAAUGCGUAGAGAUGUGGAGGAACACCGAUGGCGAAGGCAGCCCCCUGGGUCAAAACUGACGCUCAUGCACGAAAGCGUGGGGAGCAAACAGG